rnacentral:rRNA from 1 species
GCCUACGGGACGCAGCAGUGAGGAAUAUUGGUCAAUGGGCUUACGCCUGAACCAGCCAAGUCGCGUGAGGGAAGACUGCCCUAUGGGUUGUAAACCUCUUUUGUCAGGGAGCAACGCCGGCUACGUGUAGCCGGACUGAGAGUACCUGAAGAAAAAGCAUCGGCUAACUCCGUGCCAGCAGCCGCGGUAAUACGGAGGAUGCGAGCGUUAUCCGGAUUUAUUGGGUUUAAAGGGUGCGUAGGCGGAAUGCCAAGUCAGCGGUAAAAUCGCGGGGCUCAACCCGGGCCGGCCGUUGAAACUGGGGG